UCCGUAGGUGAACCUGCGGAAGGAUCAUUAACCUUUCAAAAAACAGGGUGCGUCGCGGCCCCCCUCCGGGGGCGGUUUGGGGUCCUCCCCUUCACGCGCGCACGACUGCAUCCUUACUUUACGAGCACCUUCUGUUCUCCCUCGGCGGGGCAACCUGCCGUUGGAACCGAAUAAACCUUUUUUUGCAUCCAGCAUUACCCGUUCCGAAACAAACAAUCGUUACAACUUUCAACAAUGGAUCUCUUGGCUCUGGCAUCGAUGAAGAACGCAGCGAAAUGCGAUAAGUAGUGUGAAUUGCAGAAUUCAGUGAAUCAUCGAAUCUUUGAACGCACAUUGCGCCCCUUGGUAUUCCGGGGGGCAUGCCUGUUCGAGCGUCAUCUACACCCUCAAGCUCUGCUUGGUGUUGGGCGUCUGUCCCGCCUCAGCGCGCGGACUCGCCCCAAAUCCAUUGGCAGCGGUCCUUGCCUCCUCUCGCGCAGCACAUUGCGCUUCUCGAGGGGCUCCGGCCCGCGUCCAACAAGAAAACAUUACCGUCUUUGACCUCGGAUCAGGUAGGGAUACCCGCUGAACUUAAGCAUU
rnacentral:misc_RNA from 1 species